AAGUCGUAACAAGGUUUCCGUAGGUGAACCUGCGGAAGGAUCAUUACCGAAGUACAGGCCCUCUCGAGGGCUAAACUUCCACCCUUUGUUUAUUAUACUAUGUUGCUUUGGCGGAUCGCCCUUGGGCCACCGGCUUCGGCUGGUGCGUGUCCGCCAGAGACCCUCAAACCCAAACCAUUAUACGUGUCGUCUGAAAACAAGUUUAAAUUAUUAAAACUUUCAACAACGGAUCUCUUGGCUCUGGCAUCGAUGAAGAACGCAGCGAAAUGCGAUAAGUAAUGUGAAUUGCAGAAUUCAGUGAAUCAUCGAAUCUUUGAACGCACAUUGCGCCCCUUGGUAUUCCGGGGGGCAUGCCUGUUCGAGCGUCAUUAUCACCCCUCAAGCUCAGCUUGGUGUUGGGGCCUGCCCGUCACAGGGCAGCCCUUAAAAGCAGUGGCGGUGCCAUCUGGCUCUAAGCGUAGUAAUACUCCUCGCUAUAGACGUCUGGUGGUGUCCUGCCAAAACCCCCCAUAUUUUUUAAUGACUGACCUCGGAUCAGGUAGGGAUACCCGCUGAACUUAAGCAUAUCAAUAAGCGGAGGAAAAGAAACCAACAGGGAUUGCCUCAGUAACGGCGAGUGAAGCGGCAAAAGCUCAAAUUUGAAAUCUGGCUCUUUCAGGGUCCGAGUUGUAAUUUGUAGAAGAUGCUUUGGGUGUGGCUCUGGUUUAAGUUCUUUGGAAUAUUACAUCAUAGAGGGUGAGAAUCCCGUAUGUGACCAGUCGCCGCGCCCGUGUAAAGCUCUUUCAACGAGUCGAGUUGUUUGGGAAUGCAGCUCAAAAUGGGAGGUAUAUUUCUUCUAAAGCUAAAUAUUGGCCAGAGACCGAUAGCGCACAAGUAGAGUGAUCGAAAGAUGAAAAGCACUUUGGAAAGAGAGUUAAACAGUACGUGAAAUUGUUGAAAGGGAAGCGCUUGCAACCAGACUUGCACGCAGUUGAUCAUCCGGUGUUCUCACCGGGGCACUCUGCUGCGUUCAGGCCAGCAUCGGUUUUGGUGGUUGGAUAAAGACCUUGGGAAUGUAGCUUCUUUCGGGGAGUGUUAUAGCCCUUGGUGCAAUGCAGCCUACCGGGACCGAGGACCGCGCUUCGGCUAGGAUGCUGGCGUAAUGGUUGUAAGCGGCC
rnacentral:rRNA from 1 species